AACCUGGUUGAUCCUGCCAGUAGUCAUAUGCUUGUCUCAAAGAUUAAGCCAUGCAUGUCUCAGUAUAAGCUUCUAUACGGCGAAACUGCGAAUGGCUCAUUAAAACAGUUAUAGUUUAUUUGAUGGUCAACAAUUACAUGGAUAACCGUGGUAAUUCUAGAGCUAAUACAUGCGCCCAAACCCCAACUUCCGUGGACAGGG
rnacentral:rRNA from 1 species